CUAGGAACUAUGCAAUCUUUAGUCAGCCUUUUUUUGUAGCUACACCAUGAUCUAGAGCUUGCUCAGUUGCUGUGUAAACUCAUGAGUGGGUUGGCAUUGUAGUAGGAAGUCUUUUUUUGAGGUCAAAACAUUACAGUGUACUCUAGAAUAGCCCCUGGCUAAAGCCAUUUCAAAUGAGAGUAUGAAUGAGAUUUACAGCAAAAGUCUUUUCUUUAUACACCAAUGAAGGGUGAGAGCCUCAUUCUGCCUGCCUGUGUGAGCUUGGCUGUUGAUCUGCAUAGCAGCAGGAUCUGGGGUUCCUUGCAAGGUCACUGAUGUGAAACAGAGUGAAACUUCCAGUGAUGUAGUACAUUGGUGUGUCUGGAUUCUUCCAGGAAUAUGCAUGUUUUCUGGGUAUUAUUCUACAGGUAAGAAAUCAGGGCAUUACACCUGCCUUCUUUGUUCACCCAUUUCCCAGUGUAUUACCAUAUAACACAGCACAGGCCAAAGUAACCCAGGCUGAUCAGGAGCCAGUGGCCAACCUCUGCUAUGGGUAUGGACUUUCAGAGGAGCUCCCCAGUCCCUGCUAGCAGCAGUGAUGUGUGUGAAAGCAGAGAUUGCUGCCAGUUCUGGGCAGGUUGACAGCUACAUCGGUGACAAACAGAAAUCUCAGAGUGCCACUUCAGGUACAAACCUUGCUUAGGGAACAAUUCUCAGCAUACUGAGCUCACAAACCAUUCAAGAUUGAGACAGUAGAAAUAACUUGUACACCUCCAGCUCCCAUUGCCAAGAAGGAUUCCAGCUUUCUGAGGAACUCUCAGAACUGAUCCAGAUCCAGAUCUGGGCAAGCAGAGAAGGUGAAUGGUGUUGGCAGCCAGGCAGAGAGCCAGCGAGCUGUUCUCUUGCAGGCUUGCACGGCUGCACAGAGCAGAACGUCUCCCUCUACCACUUAGUAAAUUCAUGACAUCACCAGCUGUUACCAGGGAAACACAGAAAUUACCGAUUUGGAUCUUGGCAGCUAGGUGUGUAGAGGAAAUAUCUUGCUCUUUUGUGGGUCAAAAAGGAAAGCUGAAACAAAUUCCAGGACAGCUUUGAAUUGGAACGAAGUAGGGGAGACAAAUGGAAAGAAUUUUCCACACCAAAACCUGAGUCAUUCAUCCUACACAUGUAUUUAUUGAAUUGAACUGGUUGGAGCCCUGUCCCCUGAAAGAAUGCAGCUGUGAAGAGCCAUAAAAUAGAUCAUUGCAUCUGGUAACUGCAUUAAUGUGAGCUGGUAACAGAAACGGAUGCAGAGUGAUUCUUUCUAGUCCUGCAUUGCACUGUGAUGGGAAGGAUGAUAAAGAAAAUUUCUGCUGUGCUGAUUGUCAUUAUGAUAGAUGAAAGCCCCUCUAAAGAAGAUAAUUUCUUGUCUCUUUCUUGACCUUCACACACAUGUUGAGUCUUAGCUGCUGACUAAAGGUGGCAAUAAAGAUAAUCAAAUGUUUAAAGGCCCUAAUUAAAAUCUAAUAGCAACAUGAAGGGAAGCUGAGGUCUGUUCUUUUUGUACUAGCUCAUCACUAAUGGAAUUGGUACCACAUUUUUCCUGUUAAACAGCUAAUUCUGCAGUAGGGCUGAAAAAAGGAUCUGGGUUGACUUUCACGCUCCAGUGGACUUACCAUUACAAAGAAAACCUUCCUACUAUCUUCAUUAGGAAGAGAGGGACAUGGUGUGAGAGACAACUCAUCUUCAGCUCCGUGUUGAGGGAUUUGGCGGCCUGCAGCUAGAGAUACAUUCGGAAAUGGGAUGCACUGUCUGAGACCUGGCACUGGCCAGUUUUGAUUUACUACACUCCCCAAAAGAGACUUUGCCAAAAAAGGAGAAAAAUUCAUCACCUAUUAGAGCGUAUCUUGGCUGUACUAUGCAAGCAAUUUAGUAGCCUCUGUAUAUGAGUACUGGCAGUCUUUGAGACAAAAGAAGUAGGGUUGCUUUGUGUGCACUGAAGAAGUUUUGCUUUUGACCUCACUGGAGCCAUGAUUCUUCACCAGAUCCAUAACCUGAAGGUCUAAAGUGCCCAUAAAAGGGCUACUGCAAAUCUGUAAAGUCAUAAUCAUCACAGUCCUCAGUUGACCUGACAACCAACACCACUCCUGCUUAGGAUCUAGCCUUGCAAACCUGUAACCCUCUGUGUGUGCCACAGUCAGUACUCACUCGUGAGACUGCUUUGUCCCCACCUUUUAUUUUACUGGAACUUUUUUGACGAUAAAGACCAUCUUUUUUAGGAAAAAAUAAAGAAGUGUUUGAAGGCAAAUUAUCCUCCUGGGAACUUGGUGCUCCAGUGUUUGGGCUUUAAACAUUCUGGGACAUGCUGAUUUUGUUUAAUAGCUACAGCCCUUGCUGGAAUGUUUUUAAAUUGUGUAAACAUUCCUACUAGUUUUAUGGGUUUAUAAACUGGGUUUUUUUUUAUGUGGGUACAAAUUCAAGUUGACAGUGUACUUUCCAAGCUUCCAUUAAAUAGGGACAACUUGCUAUUGAUAGAGGAACAUCUCUGAAAUAACUUUAUGAUGUCUUGCAAUGGAAGACUUUUCAUUAACUUUGGUUAGAAAAACAACCUGCCAUGUGUUUGUACGGCUUUUACCAGUUCUUACUGUGCCCUAAUGUCUGUGAGACUCCUGCUGGUGGGAAGUGAAAAAGUCCAAGGAUAAUUGAAAGGAGAAAGGAAUGUAUUUUAAUUGUACACUGUGUUUGCCAGUGACUGUUAUCAUGCAGCCAUCAAAGUGCUUUGAAACUUCGCACUUAAAGGUAGCAGUAUGAUGGUGCAUUCCUUACAUACACUGUUUUACCUCUCUUCAAGUGUGUCAGCGCUGCUUUAAAAGAUCACUAUAGAAAACCUCUGCAACUACACCGUCUGGUUUCAGCUUACCUUAAUUUAGUGUCAGCCAAGCUCCUAUAGUCCACAUGAUUAAAAGGGACAGAGGUAUACCUGCCACAUUUUGGGGAUUUAAGCCUACAUUUUCCCCCUGUAAAUUUUGACCUUAUCAAAAUAAACUUCUCCAACUUCCCCUGAAACUGGAAGAUAAAGCAAAUAUUUGCUACUAUUAUUGGAAAUUAGUGGAUGUUUGUGACUGUUGUUAAACCUCCUGACUGGAGUAGUUUCCUGUUGAGGAACGUUGUGCUUGUGUUACUCCCCAUGGUGGGGUUCUCUAGCUUGCCCCAUGCUGAGCCUGCUUCUUGAAGGCUCUAAAGAGGGAGCAGGGACAGCUUCCAUCCCUUCUGCUGAGUAGCUCCAUGAGGAAAGAGAAUGUACUGUCCAUAAAGAAUCGUGUAACCAUUGUCUGAUGGUGUGCUUGACUCUGGGACUGAAGGGAGUUGGGGUGGGUACUGGUGUGUGCCAUGUAUACUUGUUUCCUCUGUUCCCAGAAGUGACUCAGCCUUGGGAACAGCUCCUUAGUGAGCUGGUUGGGAGGCUUGAUGAGCUGCUGAAUUCCUCCUUGUCUAGUUUCCCCUAUCCAGCUUGCCUCAGAUUGUCACUGAGCUUUAUUGUUUCUACACACACACACCACGUUUAAAACCAUACAGAUGACACUUCUCACACUGCAAAUGCAGUUACACACUGCUCAUGCUUUGCAGCUGGUUGAGCACCAAUGAAACAAAUUAACUCGGUAACUGAGCUGGGAAAGUGCACGGAAAUACAGUUUCUAAUGCUUUCUUACAGAUAUUCCCAUUGGACCAUGCGAAGAACUCUUCCCAUCUACACUGUGAAAGAAACACCAGAAUAUAACUUUUCUUUUUUUUUUUUUUUUUUAAAAAAGCCUUUUAAAAUUAAAACCUUUGAGAACUUAAAUUAAAUGCACUGUGAGAAAAACGUGCCCUUCGCUUAUGACUAUUGACUUGAGGUUUAUACGUUAUUGCCAAGUCCUGGAAUGAAUAAAGCUUUAAUGUUGAAAUCAGGAACAA